rnacentral:rRNA from 1 species
AACGCGAAGAACCUUACCAAGGUUUGACAUGCAGGGAAAGCCGUAGAGAUACGGUGUCCGUAAGGGCCCUGCACAGGUGGUGCAUGGCUGUCGUCAGCUCGUGUCGUGAGAUGUUGGGUUAAGUCCCGCAACGAGCGCAACCCUCGUCCUAUGUUGCCAGCGGGUAAUGCCGGGGACUCAUAGGAGACUGCCGGGGUCAACUCGGAGGAAGGUGGGGAUGACGUCAAGUCCUCAUGCCCCUUAUGUCUUGGGCUGCAAACAUGCUACAAUGGCCAGUACAAAGGGUUGCGAGACCGCAAGGUGGAGCGAAUCCCAAAAAGCUGGUCUCAGUUCGGAUUGGGGUCUGCAACUCGACCCCAUGAAGUCGGAGUCGCUAGUAAUCGCAGAUCAGCAACGCUGCGGUGAAUACGUUCCCGGGCCUUGUA